AUGAUGGACUAUAGGACAGGACUGCUGCUUCUAACUAUCUGCUGGACAGGUGUUGAUGGUCAGACUCUGACAGAAUCUGAACCAGCAGGUAAAAAGCCUGGAAAAUCCCACAAACUGACCUGUACAGCCUCUGGAUUCACAAUCAGCAGCUCCUACAUGGCUUGGAUCAGACAGGCUCCUGGAAAAGGACUGGAAUGGAUCGCCUGGCAUGAUAGUGGUAGUGGUAGCAGAAGAUACUACUCUCAGUCAGUUCAAGGCCGGUUCACCAUCUCCAGAGACGACAGCAGACAGCAGCUGUAUCUGCAGAUGAACAGUCUGAAGACUGAAGAUUCUGCUGUUUAUUAUUGUGCUCGAGACUCACAGUGA